rnacentral:rRNA from 1 species
UACGGAGGGUACAAGCGUUAUCCGGAAUCACUGGGUUUAAAGGGUGCGUAGGCGGCUUAGUAAGUCAGGAGUGAAAGCCUGCGGCUUAACCGUAGAAUUGCUUUUGAUCCUGCUGAGCUUGAAUUAGGUUGAGGUUGGCGGAAUGUGACAUGUAGCGGUGAAAUGCAUAGAUAUGUCAUAGAACACCAAUUGCGAAGGCAGCUGACUAGACCUUAAUUGACGCUGAGGCACGAAAGCGUGGGGAGCGAACAGG